rnacentral:snRNA from 1 species
AAAGCGGAUAUGUCUCCCUUUAG